UUUAGAUGGCGACCGGCGCACGGGUGAGUAACACGUAUCCAACCUGCCGAUGACUCGGGGAUAGCCUUUCGAAAGAAAGAUUAAUACCCGAUGGCAUAGUUCUUCCGCAUGGUAGAACUAUUAAAGAACUUCGGUCAUCGAUGGGGAUGCGUUCCAUUAGGUUGUUGGCGGGGUAACGGCCCACCAAGCCUUCGAUGGAUAGGGGUUCUGAGAGGAAGGUCCCCCACAUUGGAACUGAGACACGGUCCAA
rnacentral:rRNA from 1 species